GGGGAAUAUUGGACAAUGGGCGCAAGCCUGAUCCAGCCAUGCCGCGUGAGUGAUGAAGGCCUUAGGGUUGUAAAGCUCUUUCACCGAUGAAGAUAAUGACGGUAGUCGGAGAAGAAGCCCCGGCUAACUUCGUGCCAGCAGCCGCGGUAAUACGAAGGGGGCUAGCGUUGUUCGGAAUUACUGGGCGUAAAGCGCACGUAGGCGGAUAUUUAAGUCAGGGGUGAAAUCCCGCAGCUCAACUGCGGAACUGCCUUUGAUACUGGGUAUCUUGAGUAUGGAAGAGGUAAGUGGAAUUCCGAGUGUAGAGGUGAAAUUCGUAGAUAUUCGGAGGAACACCAGUGGCGAAGGCGGCUUACUGGUCCAUUACUGACGCUGAGGUGCGAAAGCGUGGGGAGCAAAC
rnacentral:rRNA from 1 species